rnacentral:rRNA from 1 species
AUGAACGCUGGCGGCGUGCCUAAUCCAUGCACGUCGAGCGAACAGAUCAGGAGCUUGCUCCUUUGACGUUAGCGGCGGACGGGUGAGUAACACGUGGGUAACCUACCUAUAAGACUGGGAUAACUUCGGGAAACCGGAGCUAAUACCGGAUAAUAUUUCGAACCGCAUGGUUCGAUAGUGAAAGAUGGUUUUGCUAUCACUUAUAGAUGGACCCGCGCCGUAUUAGCUAGUUGGUAAGGUAACGGCUUACCAAGGCGACGAUACGUAGCCGACCUGAGAGGGUGAUCGGCCACACUGGAACUGAGACACGGUCCAGACUCCUACGGGAGGCAGCAGUAGGGAAUCUUCCGCAAUGGGCGAAAGCCUGACGGAGCAACGCCGCGUGAGUGAUGAAGGUCUUCGGAUCGUAAAACUCUGUUAUUAGGGAAGAACAUACGUGUAAGUAACUGUGCACGUCUUGACGGUACCUAAUCAGAAAGCCACGGCUAACUACGUG